rnacentral:rRNA from 1 species
UACGUAGGGGGCAAGCGUUGUCCGGAAUCAUUGGGCGUAAAGAGCGUGUAGGCGGCUCGAUAAGUCUGCUGUGAAAGUCAGGGCUCAACCCUGGAAGGCCGGUGGAAACUGUCGGGCUAGAGUCCGGAAGAGGCGAGUGGAAUUCCCGGUGUAGCGGUGAAAUGCGCAGAUAUCGGGAGGAACACCAAUGGCGAAGGCAGCUCGCUGGGGACGGUACUGACGCUGAGACGCGAAAAGCGUGGGGGAGCAAAACAGGG